AGCUUGAUAUGGUGUGGUGAGUUUGAGCUAUGUAAAAAACAUACUACCAUGUCAUUCCAUCAAUGUAGAUUAUCUUAAUGAUGUCAGAUUUUUUAAUGAGCAAUCUGUCAUAAGUAUGUUAGGAUACUCUGUAUGUUUGGGUUAAUUAUAUUAUACUCCUUUAUCUGACUCUUAGAAUAUAAACAUGGCAUGAUCAGCCAAGUUCAAAAAAAAGAAGCACUUGAGAACUCCCAGAAAUGAACAAGAUAAUGAAGGGAAUAACAAGAGGCUUCAAAGAAUUUAACGGCCUUGCCUAAAACUGUGGAGUUAACAAGUGAUGGACCAGGGAUUCGAAUACAAAGAUUUAUAUGUACAUUGAAAUAAGGGUUAUUUCCAACUUACGGUUGAAGUUCAUCCUGCUUCUCUUUUUGACAGGCAACAAUUUUUCUUGGAAAGAACAUCAAGGUGAUAGAAUUUUAAUCUGAAUAUAAAUUCCAUAUCUGCAUUCCUUGGGAAGGUAAUAAGCUCAUUUCCUACAGUAAAAUAUGAGUAAUUCUAAAGACCAAAUUCAUCUAUAUCAUAAGAAUGUUGUUAAAAUAAAAUAAGGGGUUAAUGGGUUUGAAAAUACACAGAGGGAAAACAUUUCAUCCAAAUGCCAAAUGUUAUUCUAUUUUUUUGACAAUUUGUAAACUUCUGCUUCUGUACAUUUUCAAGUCACAAAUUGUAUGUUUACAUGUUGAAUACUUAUGCUUAAUUAAAUUUGAAGGGAUCAUAGGCAAUAUCAUUGAAAAGGUAAUGGGAUAUAUUUUAGUGAAGAGAAAUUUAAAGGACUUUACAUCCAACUGCCAAGCAUUAAUAAUGCCCAAUCAAACUUUUCUGGAGAAGUUUACUCUAGUCACUCCCAUUUGGGAUGCCAUUUGUAGUUUGAGUAUCUUGAGUUAAAGUUUUAUUUUUGACUGAACGAUGUUGGUUGUAAAUAUGCCUGUAAAUUAGAUAGA